GACGAACGCUGGCGGCGUGCUUAACACAUGCAAGUCGAACGGAAAGGCCCUGCUUUUGUGGGGUGCUCGAGUGGCGAACGGGUGAGUAACACGUGAGUAACCUGCCCUUGACUUUGGGAUAACUUCAGGAAACUGGGGCUAAUACCGGAUAGGAGCACCUGCUGCAUGGGGGGGGUUGGAAAGGUUCGGCGGUUGGGGAUGGACCCGCGGCUUAUCAGCUUGUUGGUGGGGUAGUGGCUUACCAAGGCUUUGACGGGUAGCCGGCCUGAGAGGGUGACCGGCCACAUUGGGACUGAGAUACGGCCCAGACUCCUACGGGAGGCAGCAGUGGGGAAUAUUGCACAAUGGGCGGAAGCCUGAUGCAGCAACGCCGCGUGCGGGAUGACGGCCUUCGGGUUGUAAACCGCUUUCAGCUGUGACGAAGCGUGAGUGACGGUAAUGGGUAAAGAAGCACCGGCUAACUACGUG
rnacentral:rRNA from 1 species